rnacentral:lncRNA from 1 species
CUCGCCGGGUCGCUCGUGGGCUCUGCCGGCGCCGCGGCGUCCUGGCUCCCGCUGGGUGGGGCUUCCUGGGCGGAGGCCGCCGCCCCUGGGCGGUGCCGGAUCCAGUCCGCUUGACCUUAUUCCCUAGCUGCUGUCUCCGGCCCCCUGAACCCGUACAGGGUUGGGGAAGUGGGGGUGGCUGGAGGAAGCGCGCGCGGGGCAAGCCAGUGGGGCUGAGGAGGCUCCCGGGCCCGGCCCCGCCCAGUCUCCGCCCCAGCCAGGCCCGACCCGCCCUCCGAAUGUCUUACAGCUGCCCGCCCCAGAGUAAGGCCCGGUCGGUUCCCGCGCGCUCCCAGCUCCGUGCCCGCGAGCGACGACUGGAAGGGCUGUCCUUGCUCAGCGGCUUUUGGUGAUCUCUCCGCCCUAGAAGAGGGCCACCUAAAAGCGGGUGCGAGAGGAGAGUGGGAGGGCCUCCUCUUGGUGUCCCCAGGCCACCUCAGCCCGGAGAGGUGGCGGAAAACCAGACUUGAUGCUUUAACACGUUCAUAGCAAUCGCUUUUUACUGAAAGGAGUUUCUGUAUUUAGCGCUGUGUAAUUCUGUGGAAACGUGCAUUUCUUGUCUUUGCGGGAGAGCUGUUCUCUGUGGGCGGAGACCUUCAGUCCCACCCCUCCCCAGGAGGCGCCUGCGGACCCUUCCCAACCUGCAGUCAAGUUGACCAAGAACUGACUGCAAGGUGCUGGUGGCUCUGGGAUGAGAGCCUUUUGGUACUUACAGGGAAUAUGACUCUUCCCUUAGAUAUCAAAUGGACCCAAUAUCUAGGGAGCAGCUUCUUCUCCAUCCAUCUGACCGUUCCGUUGUGAGAAUGCUGGCCCAAUAACAUACUCUUUUUUUUUCCCCUAAAGGAAUAAAAAAAUCUGUAUUUUUAAGAUGUCAAAUCUCCAGAGUUUUUAGAUGUUAGCAACUGAAUCAGAUGUUUUUAAACUUCAUGAGCUGAUUAAACCACACAGAUGAGCUGUCAGUUUACGACCCCUGGCUUGGCUUGGAGGAAAGAGUGAAGAGAAAUUCCAUGGCCAAAUCCUGGGGCACUCCAAUAUUGGGAGGGUAAUGGAGAAGGAGUCUGAAAGGCAGCAUCUAGGAAGUCAUGAAAGCUAGCGCUGAGUUGUGGAAUCCCUGGGCAGAGAAGGUUUCAGGUAGGAGGCAUCAGCUGAGCGGUGUGAUAAACUUGGGCCAGAGAUGUGGCUAUUGGAUUGGGUCACCUUGCAAGUCACUGGAGAAUGUCACUGAUGGCCUUGGCUUGAUUCACGUGAGUAUAUCAGGGAGGUGGACCUGACCGGAAUGGGUUAAACAGUCACCAGGAAAGUGAGGAAAUGGAGACAGCACAUGUAUGCAAUUUGAGAGAGGUUUUGCUGUGAAGGGACCAGAUAAGUUUGGGGAUAGAUAUAGAAAGAAAUCUUUUAAAAGAUAGUAGGGGCCGGGCGCAGUGGCUCACGCCUGUUAUCCUAGCACUUUGGGAGGCCAAGGCAGGUGGAUCACCUGAGGUCAGGAGUUCGAGACCAGCCUGGCCAAUAUGGUGAAACCCGGUCUCUACUAAAAAUACAAAAAUUAGUUGGGCAUGGUAUCGCGCGCCUGUAAUCCAAGCUACUGGGGAGGCUGAGGCAGGAGAAUUGCUUGAACCCGGGAGGCAGAGGUUGCAGAGAGCCAAGAUUGGGCCACAGCACUCCAGCCUGGGCAACAAAGCGGGACUCCAUCUCAAAAAAUAAUAAUAAAUAAAAUAAAAGAUGGUAGGGUUCCCAGAGCAUGUUUAUGUGCCAUUGGGAGGGAUAUGGUGGGGAAGAAAGAUGGGUGAUCCAGGAGAGAGGAGGCUUGCUUGACCUAUAUAGGAGUGAAAUCCAUCAGAAGAUAUAAGGAAACAGGGAGGGUUGACCUUGGAGAGGAACAGGGAUGCUUCCAUUCAUGAUAAGGGCAACAAAGGUGAAGACAGAUGCAAGUGCAGGGGAGAGGGAAGGCAAGUCCUUAACAGGAUUGCCUUGGUGGCAUUGGGUACUCAUCUGAGGUUUGUGAUCAUGAUGUUAAAGGUAAACCAGUUGGCCCAGUGUGUUGGUUUUUCUCCAACAUUCAGCUGCUUGGGUACAGACAUGAAGAAAAGGGAUAGUACAGCUUCUCAACACCAGGACCCAAUUUUUCUCAUUUCUUUUUUUUUUUUUUGAGACGGAGUUUUGCUCUUAUCGCCCAGGCUGGAGUGCAAUGGUGUGAUCUCAGCUCACCACAACCUCUGCCUCCUGGGUUCAAGCGAUUCUCCUGCCUCAACCUCCUGAGUAGCUGGGAUUACAGGCAUGCGCUACCACCCCCGACUAAUUUUGUAUUUUUAGUAGAGAUGGGGUUUCUCCAUGUUGGUCAGGCUGGUCUUGAACUCCCAACCUCAGGUGAUCCGCCCGCCUCGGCCUCCCAAAGUGCUGGGAUUACAGGAGCGACUCACCGCGCCCGGCAAGUUUUCUCAUGUCUAAUCCCAGUUACUUACCUUAUACAAUUAGAUACUAUUUUAGAAAUGUGUGAAGUAUUUGAAAAAUUUACACGUGACCCUUCUUUUUCUAGAAACCAAGUUAUCCCAUUUGCCUCUUAUGUACACAUUAGGACUCAGACAUAAAGAAAAGACAAACUCAGAGGAAAAUUACCAAACAGAUGCUUCUGGAAUAUUUGCAUUUUGCAUUCUCCUCAGCCCAAAUAGUUCCUGGUAUACUUAAGAACUUAUGUACUAGAAACAACAAAGCUGACAUGCACAUAGGGAGACCUUGUUUAUACAAAAAAUUUAAAAAUUAGCUGAGUGUGGUGGCGUAUGACUGUAGUCCCAGCUACUUGGGAGGCUGAGGUGGGAAGAUCGCUUGAGCCCAGGAGGUCGAGACUACAGGGAGCCAUGUGUGUGCCACUGUACUCCAGCCUGGGUGAUGAAGCAAGACCCUGUCUCAAAAAAAUAAAAAAUAGGCCAGGCACAGUGGCUCAUGCCUGUAAUCCCAGCACUUUGGGAGGCCAAGGUAGGUGGAUUACUUGAGCCCAGGAGUUUGAGACUAGCCUGGGUAACAUGGCAAAAGCCCAUCUCUACAAAAAAUUAGCUGAACAUGGUGGUGUGUACCUGUAGUCCCAGAUACUUGGGAGGCUGAGGCAGGAGCAUCACUUGAGCCCAGGAGGUUGAAGCUGCAGUGAACCCCGAUUGCACCACUACAUUCCAGCCUGAGUGACAGAGCAAGACAUUGUCUCAAAAAUAAAAAAAAAAUUAAAAGCUGACUUGCAUUUAAACUUUAGAUUUUCUUUCUAGUAACAUUAAUAAGCUAAUUAGUUCACUUUCUCAAGAUUUUACUUCAAAUCACCUUCCUUUUUUUUUGUUUUUUGUUUUCUUUUUGUGGAGAUGAGGUCUCACUGUGUUGCCCAGGCUGGUCUCAGGCUCCAGCAAUUCUCCUGUCUUGGCCUUCCAAAGUGCUGGGAUGUAAGCCACCACACCUGUCCCCAUCUUCUUUAAGAGUAGACUACAGGAACACCUUCUAAAGCUUUUAUGUAGGCAAAUAUGAAGCAGUGGAUUUAUUUUUUUAUUUUAUUUUAUUUUUAGAUGUAAUCUCACUCUGUCGCCCAGGCUGGAAUGCAGUGGCUCGAUCUCAGCUCGCUGCAACUUCUGCUUCCUGGGUUCAAGCAAUUCUCCUGCCUCAGCCUCCCGAGUAGCUGGGACUACAGGUGUGCACUACCACUCCUGGCUAAUUUUUUGUAUUUUUAGUGGAGACGGGGUUUUGCCAUGUUGGCCAGGCUGGUCUUGAACUCCUGAUCUCAGGAGAUCCGCCCACCUCAGCCUCCCAAAGUCUUGGGAUUACAGAUGUAAGCCACCACACCCAGCCUGAGGCAGUGGAUUUAGAGGGAAAAAAGCCUCAAUUAUAUUUAUGAUUAUAUUUACAACUAUAUAUUAAUUAUAUUUAUAACUCUAUGAUCUCUGAGGCAUCAAAAGCCAGGAAUGGGGUCCAAGUGGCCUUGAAGCCUGCUUUCUGAAGACAAGGACCCUAUGUACUGCUCUCACAUAGGGCUGAGAAAAUGCGAAGGAUCACUAAGGAAGGAAGAAAAGAAAAUAUUUUCUGGCUGGGCGUAGUGGCUCACACCUGUAAUCCCAGCACUGUGGGAGGCCGAGGCAGGCGGAUUACCUGAGGUCAGGAGUUUGAGAUCAGCCUGGCCAACAUGGUGAAACCUCAUCUCUACUGAAAAUAUAAAAAUUAGCCAGGCGUGGUGGCACACCUGUAAUCCCAGCUACUCGGGAGGCUGAGGCAGGAGAAUUGCUUGAACCUGGGAGGUGGAGGUUGCAGUGAGCCGAGAUUGCGCCACUGCACACCAGCCUGGGCGACAGAGCGAGACUUCAUCUCAAAAAUAAAUAAACAAACAAAAUAUUUUCUUGUCUUUAUGGUAAAUCUUGAUGUGUCCUACUUUAUGGAGUCAGCUCCAAAGAUGAAGGAACAGAAGGCCAAACAAAAGGAAUAGAAUGUUUGAGGCUGGAAAGAAACAAGCUGAGGGAAAAUAUGAUGACAGGCUGUGAAACAGUUGAGGUGAUAAAAAUAAGGCUAGGCUGGGCACGGUGGCUCAUGCCUGUAAUCCCAGCACUUUCAGAGGCCGAGGUGGGCGGAUCACUAGGUCAAGAGAUUGAGACCAUCCUGGCCAACAUGGUGAAAUCCCGUCUCUACUGAAAAUACAGAAAUUAGCUGGGUGUGGUGGCGUGUGCCUGUAAUCCCAGCUACUCAGGAGGCUGAGGCAGGAGAAUCGCUUGAACCUGGGAGGCGGAGGUUGCAGUGAGCAGAGAUCGCACCACUCCACUCCAGCCUGGCGACAGAGUGAGACUCUGUCUCAAAAAAAAAAAAAAAAAAGAUCUGGCCUUGAGCCUCACGUACAGGACCAGAAACCCAAUGUGGUUUGUACCCUAAGAGCAGAUUCCUUCCUCGGGGAUUUGUCAGGCUCACAGGCGCUUGCUAGAUAAGCAGAGUGCUGUUAACAACGGGCAAGUGGACCAGUGUCCUCGUGCUGGCAAAAGGCAUAUUGAUCCCCUAUAGGAGAGCAUUCGGGGAAGCCAAAUUACUAGAAAUAUUUGAUGAGCAGUUAAUUAGAUUAACUAGUGUUAGUUAUGUAACUUAAAUGUUUAAUGUCACCCUCUCUGGAUGCUAGAAUUAGAUUGUUCGGGAUUCAAGUCUAGUCUUGGUUUUUUAUUAGCCGUGUGGUCUCUGUUGAAUUCGUAACAACUCAACUAUAGAUUUCUCUUCUAUAAAAUGGGAUGAUAGGUUGGGCGUGGUGGCUCAUGCCUGUAAUCACAGCACUUUGGGAGGCCAAGGCAGGUGGAUCACCUAUGGUCAGGAGUUCAAGACCAAAAAUACAAAAAUUAGCCAGGUACGAUAGUGGGUGCCUGUAAUCCCAGCUACUCAGGAGGCUGAGGCGGGAGAACUGCUUGAAUCUGGAAGGCAGGGGUUGCAGUGAGCCGAGAUCGCGCCACUGCACUCCAGCCUGGGUGACAGAGGAGACUCUGUCUCAAAAAAAUAAAUAAAUAAAAUGGGAUGAUCAUUGUGCUUGAUACAGCCAUAAGGAUUAGACAAGAAAUAAAGCAGCUUUUUUUUUUUUUUUUUUUUUUGAGACAGGGUCGCAUUGUCCACUGUUGCCCAGGCUGGGGUGUGGAGUGCAGUGGCGAACUCUGCUCACUGCAACCUUUGCCUCAGCAUUCUGAGUUGCUGGGACUAUAGGCGAGUGCCAACACACCUGGCUAAGGUUUUUUGUUUUUUGUAGAGAUGGGGGUCUUACUAUGUUGCCCAGGCUGGUCUCGAACUCCUGGUGUGAAGCAAUCCUCCUACCUCAGCCUCCCAAAGUGCUGGGAUUACAGGCAUGAGCCACUGCACCCAGCCAGAAAUCAUUAUCCUAUGAUUCUCAGGAGAACAGUUGUAUUUCCAAGAUCUUCCUUGGCUCCUAUUGUUACCCCUGUAAAGCUUGCAAUAAUUAUGAUCAUUUACAUGUUUUUUAAAAACUCUUUAAUCAAGAUAAUCAACAAACGAAGGGGAGACAUAUUGAUUUUCUAAGACAUAAUGAGCAGGGAAUCUUCCUGCCCUCCUUGGGGUAAGGCCUAAAGUUACAUGUGAACACUCUGGUUUUCUCUAUACCUGUUGAGAACAUGUGUGAGACAUGAUGCAGCUCAUCAAGUAAUUAUUGAAUACUUGGUGUGUGUAGCUUCCUGUUCUAGGCACUGGAGAUUCAAAGAUGACUCACGAUGUGUUUCCUGCCCUUGGACUCAAAAUUUAACUAGUAAAACUGGUUAAAACAAACACACAAAAAAUUAAUGCAAUAACUGUUAUAGUGGAAAGAAAUGAGCUCACAGCUAAAGGAGUAAAUCACUCCAGGAGUAUCUCAUUUCAGCUGGGUCUAAAGGAUUAGCAAAGCAUUAACAAGUGACACGAAGACAUGUAAGGUGAAGAGCCAUGAUCAAAGGCAUAAAAGUCUACAAGAGUAUUUGGGGGACAGCGAGUCAUCUUACACCAUUGGAUGAGGGUGUAGAGUAGUGAUGCUAAACCUUUAAAGACAUUUGGAAAGCUUUCAUUGUCUGCCAACAUCAACUGCCAAGCCUAACCACUUCUAACAUUUAAAUUUUUUUUUUCCCCAAGAUGGAGUCUUGCUCUGUUGCCCAGCCUGGAGUGCAGUGGUGCAAUCUUGGCUCAUUGCAACCUCUGCCUCCCAGGUUUAAGCAAUUCUCCUGCCUGAACCUCCCAAAUUGCUGGGAUUACAGACACGCACCACCAUGCCCAGCUAAUUUUUGUAUUUUUAGUAGAGAUGGGUUUCACCAUGUUGGCCAGGCUGGUCUCAAUCUCCUGACCUCACGAUCUGCCUGCCUCGGCCUCCCAAAGUGCUGGGAUUACAGGCAUGAGCCACCAAGCCCGGCCUAUUCUAACAUUUUAAAGACUCAUCCUUCCAUAUCAUCUCCUGCCUAGACUGUAGGAGUUUUUUUCCUUAUUAAUGUCUGCUUUCUUCAGACCCCUGUGAAAGCCUUAUUUAUUUAUUUAUUUAUUUAUUUAUUUAUUUAUUUAUUUAUUUAUUUUGAGACGGAGUUUUGCUCUUGUUGCCCAGGCUGGAGUACAAUGGCAUGAUUUUGGCUCACCACAACCUCCACCUCCCGGGUUCAAGCAAUUCUCCCGCCUCAGCCUCCCAAGUAGCUGGGAUUACAGGCAUGCGCCACCAUGCCCGGCUAAUUUUGUAUUUUUAGUAGAGACGGGGUUUCUCCAUGUUAGUCAGGCUGAUCUGGAAUUCCCAACCUCAUGUGAUCUGCCCACCUCAGCCUCCCAAAGAGCUGGGAUUACAGUCGUGAGCCACCACGCCGGCCUAUUUAUUUAUUUAUUUAUUUUGAGGUGGAGUCUCGCUGUGUCGCUCAGGCUGGAGUGCAGUGGCGAGAUCUCGACUCACUGCAGCUUCCGCCUCCCAGAUUCAAGCAAUUCUCCUGCCUCAGCCUCCUGAGUAGCUGGGACUACAGGUAUGUGCCACCAUGCCCAGCUAAUGUUUUUGUAUUUUUAGUAGAGAUGGGGUUUCACCCUGUUAGCCAGGAUGGUCUCGAUCUCCUGACCUUGUGAUCUGCCCGCCUCAGCCUCCCAAAGUGCUGGGGUUACCCCGGCCAGCCAUAUUUAUUUUUUACCUCUCAGCUCAAAUGACUGCUCUUAAAGGUAUAAAGGACUGUUGCUAAACCUAUAUCCAAUGUUUUAGAAGUUGAUUUUGUUUUCUGUGCUGUUACUUACUUUUCCAAACAUGCAUGGAUCACCCUUUAUAAUCCAUCUCUAUAUUUUUCAUUUUGCAAAACACCUUCAUGUCUGCCUUUUCAAGUGAUGCUCACAGCUCUAUUUGAUCAGCCAGGCAGUUUUGUCCUAAAUUCAGAAAUGAAGUGACUUGCUCAGGGUUGUCCGGCAACUUGUUGGCAAAAUCAGAAUGAGUACAGUAGUCUCCCCCUUGUUCACAGCUUCACUUUCUGCUAUUUUCUGCUAUUGGUUACACAUGGUCAACUGCAGUCUGAAAAUACUAAAUGGAAACUUCCAGAAAUCAUGUUUCGAAUUGCACACCAUUCUGAGUAGAGUGGUGAAAUCUCACAACAUCCUGCUGCAUACUGCCUGGAAUGUGACUCGUUCCAUUGUCCAGCAUACCCAUGCUGUAUAUACUACCCACCUAUUAGCCACUUAGUAGCCAUCUCAGUUAUCAGAUUGAUAACACAUACUAUAUAUAGGAUUCAGGACUAUCCUUGAUUUCAGACAUCCACCAGAGAGCUUGGAACAUAUCCCCCAUAAAAAAUGGGGGACUGUAGGCUUGGUGUGAUGGCAAUCACGGCCUAUAAUCCCAGCACUUUGGGAGGCUAAGGUGGGUGGAUCACGAGGUCAGGAGUUCGAGACCAGCCUGACCAACAUGGUGAAACCCCGUCUCUACUAAAAAUACAAAAAUUAGCUGGUUGUGGUGGUGUGUGCCUGUCAUCCCAUCUACUCAGCAGGCUGAGGCAGGGGAAUCACUUGAACCUGGGAGGUAGAGGUUGCAGUGAGCCAAGAUUGCACCACUGCACUCCAGCCUGGGCGACAGAGCGAGACUCUGUCUCAGGAAAAAAAAAAAAAAAAAAGAUGGGAUCUCACUCUGUCACCCAGGCUGAAGUGCAAUGGCGUAAUCAUAGCUCACUGCAGCCUUUAACUCCUGGGCUCAAGCAAUCCUCCUGAGUCGCUAGGACUACAGGCACAUGCCACCAUGUCUGGCUAAUUAAAAAAAAAAGAAUUAUUUAUAGAGACAGGGUCUCACUAUGUUGCCCAGGCUGGGAAGGGCUUUAAUUGUGGAAACUUCAGGCUCUCAGGCAGACAGCAGAGGUAUUUAGGUGAUGACUUAUUAAUCUACAAGUAUGUCCUGAAUAACUGCUUAGGACCCAGGUCUAUGUUCAAGGUUAGGUACUACCAGAGAUAGAUAGAGGAUGUCCCUAGCCCUCGAGUGCCUUCUAUUUCGUUUUAUAUUAGUGUGGAAAUAUCAGACUAAACCUUGAGUAUUAGAAGGUAAAAGUCAAGGAUGAAAAGGGAAGUGUAAAGGUAUAGGCUACAGGUGUGGAAGGAAUGGAGCGGAGCAGUCACUGGACAUCACAGUAGUCAUAUGAAACCGCAUGCUAAAGCGAGCAUGACUUUCAAGCCUCUGCUUCUAGCCUUUACCCACUCUGGCCCAGGCUACUCUUGCUUCUUUUUUUUUUUUUUUUUUGAGAUGGGGUCUCACUCUGUUGCCCAGGCUAUCAGGCAGUGGUGCAGUCACAGCUCACGCAGCCCUAACCUCCCAGGCUCAAGUUAUCCUCCUGCUUCAGCCUCCUCAGUAGCUGAUGCUACAGGUGCACACCACCGUGCCCAGCUAAUUUUUGUAUUUUUUGUAGAGAUGGGGUUUUGCCAUGUUGCCUAGGCUGGUCUCAAACUCCUGAGCUCAAGCAAUCCACCUGCUUCAGCCUCCCAAAGUGCUGGGAUUAUAAGCGUGAGCCACCAGGCCCAGACUCUUGCUUCUUCUAAUGUAACUGCAGGCUCCUCCCUGCUUCCGGCCUCCUCCCUCUCACAGCUGCCAGAGUGACCUUCCCAAAGCACACACGUGAUCACAAAACCCCCCUGCUUCAAGCCCACUGGUGGCUCCCCGGUACCCUGGGAUAAAUUCCAAACUCAGCCACUCCACAAGGCCUCCCAUGCUCACCAAGCCCCUGCUCACCCCCUCAGCCUCAUCUCUAACUGCCCCCUCUGGCCCCUGGGGAUUCAGCUUGCUUGCUUCCUCCACCAGUCUGACCUCAGUCCUCCCUCCCUCUGUUGUCCCCUCCUCAGGCUUCUGUUCCAUUCCUUAAUUGGGAUCCUGGUGGUGAAAGUGCAUUCUAAAGCGCUAUGCCCCAUGGGGGGGACUAGGGAGAGUGUUUGAGUUUCCAGGCUUCUUCCACACUGAACAUAUGGUACUUUCACACUCAAAGUGCUUUUCAGGUUGCUUUUGACAUAAGACAAGGCCAUCAGUUGGGGAGGUGUAUGUAAGGGAAACCAGAGCUAGAGACAGGUUUUAGAGGUAUUCAUCAGAAGAUAUUUCUGGACCACUUACUGUGUAUCUGGCCUUGGGUGCUGGGCAUAGCAAAGGCAGAUGCAGCCUGAACAAAUAGAGAAUUGGCUGGCCCUACGCCAGAUUUGCUGAAUUGGAAUCUCCAGGGAAGUUCUCAGGUGAAUCUUAGAACUGGGUAAGUUGGAAAGCCCUAACCUGAUUUCAUUUGUAAGACAUAUCCAGGAUAGGCAAAUCUGUAGAGACAGAAAGUAGAUUAGUGGUUGCCUGGGGGUAGGGUGGAGAAUAUGGAAGCGCAGGGAUGACAGCUAAGGGGUGCAGGGUUUCUUUUUGGGUUGAUGAAAAUGUUCUAAAAUUGUGGUGAUGGCUGUGCAACUCUGAAUAUACUAAAAGCCAUUGAAUUGUACACUUUAAGUAUUUAUUUAUUUUUUUGAGAUGGAGUCUCACUCUUCACCUAGGUUGGAGUGCAGUGGCAUGAUCUAACUCACCGCAACCUCCACCUCCCGGGUUCAAGAGAUUCUUCUGCCUCAGCCUCCCAAGUAGCUGGGAUUAGAAGCAUCCACUACCAUGCCCAGCUAAUUUUUGUAUUUUUUAAGUAGAGACAACAUGGGGUUUCACCAUGUUGGCCAGGCUGGUCUGGAACUCCUGACCUCAGGUAGUCCACCUGCCUUGGCCUCCAAAAGUGCUGGGAUUAUAGGCAUGAGCCACUGCGCCUGGCCAAAUUGUACACUUUAAAUGGUUGAAUUGCAUGGUAGGUGCGCUAAAUCUCAAAAAGAGCUGUUUAAAAAAAAUAAAAAGGCUGGGUGUGAUGCCUCAUACCUGUGAUCCCAGCACUUUAGAAGGCCAAGGUGGGAGGAUCACUUGAGGCCAGCCUGGGCGACAUAGUGAGACCACCUCUUUAGCAGGGCAUAGUGGUGUGUGCCUAUAGUCCCAGCUACUUGGUAGGCUGAGGUAGGAGGAUCCCUUGAGCCCAGGAGUUCAAGGUUACGGUGAGCUAUGAUCAUACCACUGCACUCCAGCCAGGACAACAGAGCAAGACCCUGUCCCAAAAACAAAACAAAACACUUGGACCAAGUUCUAGAGGGAAGGCACCCACCUCAGACCUGGGUGGUUACCCAGUAAAAUUGUCAGCAUAUAUUAUGAAUGUAUGUUCCAGAGGGUACAAAGUAAAUAAGCAAUUGCAGGCCAGGUGCGGUGGCUCACGCCUGUCAUCCCGCACUUUGGGCGGCCAGGGUGGGUGGAUCACCUGAGGUAAGGAGUUUGAGACCAGCCUGACCAACAUGGAGAAACGCCGUCUCUACUAAAAAUACAAAAUUAGCCGGGUGUGGUGGCACAUGCCUGUAAUCCCAGCUACUCGGGAGGCUGAGGCAGGACAAUCGCUUGAACCCAGGAGGCAGAGGUUGUGGUGAGCUGAGAUCACGCCAUUGCACUCCAGCCUGGGCAACAAGAGUGAAACUCUAUCUCAAAAAAUAAAUAAAUAAAUAAAAUAAGCAAUUGCAAUGAAGUGUGAUUAGUCUUAUAGAAGGGAAAGCGCAGGCUCCUGUGACAAGAGCAGGUGGGCAUGCAGCUUGCUAAAGAAAUAUAUGGGCCAGGUGCCGUGGCUCACACCUGUAAUCCCAGCAGUUUGGGAGGCUGAGGCGGGUGGGUCACUUGGGGUUAGGAGUUAGAGACCAGCCUGGCCAACAAGGUGAAACCUCGUCUCUACUAAAAAUACAAAAAUUAGCUGGUUGUGGUGGCGGGCAUCUGUAAUCCCAGCAACUCCAGAGGCUGAGGCACAAGAAUUGCUUGAACCCGGGAGGCAGAAGUUACAGUGAGCCGAGAUUGCGCCACUGCACUCAGCCUGGGCAGCAGCGCAAGACUCCAUAUCAAAAAAAUAUAUAUUUAGGGCAUUUAAUUGGGAGGAUUCUGAUGGCUGGGAUGUGGGUACAGAGGAAAGAGUAAGGAUGAGGCUCUGUUAUAUGGCUUGGGUACCUGGGAAAUUGGUAACCCCUAGAGCUGUUGGAGGAGAAACAAGUUUUGAGAAGAUGUUGAGUCUGAUUUUGAGCAUGUUGAGUUUGAAAUGCCCCAGAUGUUCAAAAGGAAGUGUCCAGUGAGCAGCUGGAUGUGGGGGUCUGGAAGCAAGCUUGGAAUACAUGAGGAAGAAGAGUGGGAGACAGGAGGAAAGGUAAGGUUGGGAGAGGGCAAGAGGAAAGGAGGAGAGUAGAGGGAACACUCCAUCGAUUGCCAGCACAAUAAACUGUAUCAUGGACUACUUCAGCCUGGCCCCUGCUUUGCAGUGUGCGUGGAGCAGUUUCCUCUGGGCAGAGUCUCAGAGAUGAUGGCCAAGGCGACUGUGGCCUCAAUGGACUUAACUGAUAGGGCACUUCUCAGUGUGUCACAGGCCUUGGAGGCCCACUUCCAUCUGUCCCCUCAGAGGCUGGGCAGACGCUUUCCCUGCCCUGAUACCUUUGACUCAUGAUGGUAUCGUCAACUGCCCAUCACCUGAGGCAAGGGGCUCCCAACUGUCCUCAGUCCCAAACAGCAGGAACACCUGCCUCCCUGACCCACAUGACAGCAGGGUAGGGGGUGGGAGAAUGCUAUGGGCAGGUUUGCCCUGUGGGAGGCCCCUGUGAGGCAGAGGGGGUCAGGAGAGAUACAGAGGUGGGAGGACAAGGGUUCUCUCUGCCCCUCCACCAUCUCAGGAACCUGGGCAUGGGCCUGGGUGUAGGAGGCCAUCCAGCCUGCCUUCAAGCCACUGAUGGAGAGAGGCUGACUGGCUGUCCUGGGGUUGAUUCAUGCUGCUCUGAGCCAGAUAGGCAUCAUGUGCUUCACCUGGCUGUGCUCACAGUGCCCUCAUUCCAGCUCCUGUCCCCUUCCGAUCCUCACACCCACCCCUGGCUAGAGCUGAAUACUAGGCUCUGGCCUCAGGACUCUGCAGAGCACAGAGUCUAGGGUCUGUCCCUUCCCAGCAUUGGAGAGCAGGGAUUCUUAGUGACAACGCCAGUGGACCCCUUGGCUGGGAUGAUGACAUUUUUCCAUCCUCCAUUUCUUGCCCAAGCCCUGCUCUCUCCUGUGUACUGAGCUGUGAGCUCAUGCAGGCUCAGUCACCCCCAUCUGCACUUUCCCAGGACCUGGUCAACCAGUGUUCACUUCCUCUUCCCCCACCAUGACAGGCUAUGCUUUUGAUGCAGGUGGAUAGCCCUGCUCUACCAAUGGGCCUCUUGUGGGGGCCUCAGGACUGAGGGCUGCUAGGGGCGGUUCUGGGAUUGCCGGCCUCCUCCAGGGACCCCUGGGGCAGGCCCCAGCUGUGGCCAGCCUUGGGUGCUGGCCUGGUCUCCAUCAUUUGUUUGCCUCCUCUGCCCCAUGCUGCUCCAGCUCACCACCCCAAAUACUGAGCUGCACCAUCCCGUGCCACCCUUCGUUACCCAGAGAGCAAAGAGCCGCGCCAGUGUGCAGAGGGCUGCCUGCCUGCCCCUGCCCACCCUCGCCCCAGCGUCUGGAAUGAGCCACUUGCAUCCACACAGGUGCUUCCUGUGCUUCUUCCUGUUGCCGUUUUUUCUGCUCAGCUUGGCUUCCCCAGCAGGUGGUUAAAGCCCCAGCCAAACCUCUUCAUACCUAGCUCUAAAACACUGGGGGGCAGGGCUCCCUGGGGAUCUGGGUCACCCUCCAGAGGACUGUUGGCACUUCACUGGCUCUUCCUGAGGGCAGGCUCCCCAACGUGACACGUCCUGCACAGGCCAAGCUGCUGCCACAGGUACUGGGACAUCAGAGUGGCCUCAAUGAGUCAGGGAAGUGCUGCGUAUGCACCACCUCCUUGCCCCUGGAUACUGGAAGUGCUGAGGGAGAGGGGAAGGGUGGAGAGCCUGUUUCUCUAGCCACGGGUGUGGGCCUCCCUCAGCCCCUCCUUAGAACAGGCCUGCCAUCCUGAAGUCCCACCCCACACUCCAGUUCCUCACGCAGGACUCAGCCUUCUGGGGUUAACACAUUCACUGGCCAGGCAGCUCUGGGGCAAGGCGAGGCGGGGCAAAGGCAAGCCCUCUCCUGGGAUCUCUGCUUCCUGAAGCAGCACAGGUUGGCCGGCUGUUGGGGAUCACAGAGUUCAGGCACGUUUGUUAUUAUAGAGGGGGAGACAGCUGGAGAGGGAAGGGACUUGCUGUCUUGGGUCACAGGUUAGCCAUCCAGGUCUCCUGCCUCCCAGGUCCCAGCUCUUCCCCUCCGCAAGGAGCUCCUCUCCCCUGCCAUCCAGCUUCAAGGAGCUCCUUCAGCCCCCUCUGCAGAAAGCUGCCCAGGCUGCAGAAGACCCAAACCUGGCAUCUGCUGACGCGGAUCUGCUGCCCCCUGGUGGGCAGAAGCUCCAGCCACCCCGUGCCUCCUUUCCCUUCCUGUUUUUCCUUUCCCUUCCCCUUUGCUCCCAGGCCACAGCCUGGGAUUGGCACCCUUUGGUGUUUUCUGGGCCAACUCCAGUUUAGCUCCACCUUGGGCCGUAGUUCCCAGGCCCAGGGUAGGCCCCACCUGCAGGCUGAACCACCCUUUUCCCCUGCUCUCUUCUCCAAGCCCAGUUCCAGCCUCUGGGCUUUCUUCCACCUGAAUUUCCAGGGCAAGUGCACAUGGCACUGUCACAGCUGCAGUGUGAACACACCAGUGUCAGGCAGGGCCACAGCCAGAGGGUGUUGGAGCAGAGGGUCAGGAGUGUACCAGGCCAUGUAGGAAAGACAUUUUGCUUUUUUAUUUUCUGUAAAACUCUGUAAAUAAAAUACAAAACCAAGGGAUGUGGCUGGGCAGCGGCAGGGUGGCCAAGCCCCAGACACUGAUUUGUGGCAAGGGAUGUGCUGAGCCGAGGCUGGGAGGCACUUGACUGCAGGCACUGACUCUCCAACCCCAGGGGCAACAGAAGAAUAUAUUAGAUUUUCAUUGCUAGGAAUCUGUGGGGGAGGGGUAUCUGGAGCCAGCCCUUACCCUCCCUGCCAGUGCCUGGUGAGCCCUGAAAGUGGGGGGAAAGGGGCACCAGGAACCCAUGGGUGAAUAGUUUAGAAUGCUGUGCUGGCCAUGCUGCCAGGCCCAAAGAUGCGGGGCAGGGCGUCCAGGGACUCCUCCAGCCGUCGAUGGGCAGACUGUCCCUCUUCUCCUGUAAUGAGUGAGGAUGAGGUCAAGGGUGGCCCUAGCCCCAUCCCACUCUCCCACCCCUGGCGCCAUCUCUCCUACUCCCAUCAGCCAAGAUGUCCCAGAACUCCACCCAUCUCUUCCAUCCCCCAGCCUCACCACACUGCUGUAGGCUUUGCCGGGCAGCUUCCCUCACAGCUUCUGUGUCAGUUUGGCAGAGGUACACCAGGGGCUCAAUGCCCUCGGGAGCCUGUCAGGGGAGGGAGCAUUGAGGUGGGCUCAGGGGAGCAGAUGGGAGGGUUUCAGGGGUGGGGGUGCCGGAAGCGGACAGAGGGGUGGGAGGGUUGGCAGGGGUCACCUUGAUGCAGCCUAGGGCCAGGCAGCCAGCCACUCGAGUCUGCACGUCCUCAUCCUCCAGCUGGUCCAGGAAGCACAGGAGGGCCUGUGGAAGGGUGGGAGGACAGACUUAGCCAGACAGUGGGAGUCCAGGACCCCAGCCCUCGCCCUCAAGGGAGCCCUGUCCAACUCACCCUCUCCCGGAAGGUAGGGCCCAGUGACAGGCUCCGGAGCUGGGUGCUGACAGCAGCCAUGACCUUGUUGUUGCCAUGGACGAGCAGGGAGCUGAGGGCCCGCAGCCCGUCCCUUCGCAGACGCCCCUCGGGCGCCAAUCUCAGGGCCUUCAGCACAACAGCCUGAUCAUCCGAGUUCAGAUUCCGCACCAGUAGCACUGAAAAAAGGGGAUAUGGUGGGUGGGUGGGCAAGGUGGCAGGGUGAGGAGCCCCCGAGGUUGGGGAGGGCUUGUCCUCAUGUCCUCAGACCCCAAGAGGCCACUAUGUGAUCAGGGCCACCGCCUCACCCUCCUCAGCGGUCUCAGUCACGUAGGCCUCCAUGGUGGGGCUGUCCAAGGUUUCCACAAAACUCCAGAACUGGAAGACUGUGAGCUGCUCUCCAGGCCCUGGCUGGGGCCUUCUGGGCAGCUUCUGCCCCAGGGCAUCCUCCAGGAACUUCACACACACUGCAGGAGGCAGUAGCAUGGGCCUCAGAGUUUGGGUGAACACAGCUUUUAGAGGGGAGAGAUGCUCCUAUCCCAGGCUCAGGUCCAGGGGCCCCCUGUUCAAACCCCACCCAUCUGGGUCCUUCUGCUCUAAGGCCCAAGUCUUUGCUGGUCUCCUCGGUGCCCAGUUCGUUUAUCUGUGUGGGCUGACCUGGCUUCCCCGAGCUUCCUGUCACUGGGAAUCUGAGCAAGGGUGGAAGGAGGAAGCAGCCCACUCACCAGCCUCAGCCAAGCCUGGCUGGCGCAGGGAGAGGCGGGCACCAUACUGGUUGCAGAAGGUGAGAAGCACCCGCUCCACCGGGCAGAGGAAGCAGCUGAGUCUCUCUGUGCACUGGUCCCAGAAGGUCAGGAAGCCAGGCCGAGAGGCCGAGAACUGCACCACUGUGAGGGGGUGAGGGAAACCGUCAGCAACAGGCAGGCAGGUGAGUAGAGAGCAUGCAGAUGGCAGUAGGCUGAGGUAGGAGCUUCAAGGCAGAUGGCAGAGCCCGAACCCCCAGGGCCUUUACCUUCCUGGGCAGAGCUGGCCGGGAUCUCCCACCGCCUGCUGAACUCGCAUACUGCCUCCAGUACUCGGGCUUCCCGCAGCAGCCGCUCCAGGGCCCAUGCCUCCUGGCAGCGCAGGGGCCCAAAUGUGCCCAGUUUCUGGAGAACAUGGGUGGCCAAGUAGCUCAGGCCUCAGGGUAGGGCUCGGGAGGAUCGUGCUCAGGGACAAGUCCCAGCAUGCACUGGGGGAGGUUGGGGUUGCAGAGUUGGGAGAUACUCCAUUCAGCAAGGGCCAGAUGCCAAGGGCCCUGGGGCACUGGGGUGUGGCACUCAGAGGAGGUAUAGAGGACCAGGAUGGAAGGGCAGGACUCCCUGGGGUUAGGGGUUACAAAGGAAGGGUGGGGGAACACCAUCAGCCUCACCAGCAGGAGGCGACUGCAGUGGUACAGGUGCCGGACCAAGGCAGCAUCCAGAGCUGGACACCCCGUGCUGAGGGGGCGGGCACUGGGUGAGUCUAUGCUGUCCUCAGCCCCAGCCUCCGGGCUGCUUGGAGGCCUGAGGGAAAAAUGGGGUCCACCACCCCACAGGCACACAUCACCACCUGGUCACCAGCGUUUAUUUUUAUUAAGCUUCCCCCAUGCCAGAAAGGAAGAAGAUGAUGCACCGACAGCAGACAGUGGGGUAAGUUCAUGGAGGAUUUCCAGAAGGAGGAAGGGGCUGGGACCAGCAGGUGGUAGUAGGGAUCUCUGGAGUCAGUCUGCGCCAUGCUACCUCCAGCUGGGACCACUGGGGAUGGCAUGGGUAGGAGUAGGCUGCAGGCGGGAUGGUUUAUGACAAGUGGACUGCAAAGGGUGCAGGGCAUGGGGCUGUAGCCUGGGCAGCAGCAGAGGAAGGAGGGACCUGGCACAACUCUCAACUGGGAACCAGCAAAGGCCACUCCAGGACUGACAGUUGAGGGGCCAGGGCCUCUGGGAGAGUCGGGGUUGAGAAGGAGUGGGGCAGUGCUGGGGUCCCAGGGUGCACGGCGAGACACUGAGAGAGCUCCUUAAAGGGCAGGUCCAAGGUGAGGCCAAGGGGAAGAGGAGGGGCUGGAGGCACCCAAGCUGAUGGGGACCGGCAGGGGAGGCAGACAUUGCAGAGAUGAAGAGGGCGGUCAGAAGCACUGGGGACACACGUAGGGUUGGAGACAUGGGCAUGAAGGACAUGGGAGGGGUGGACACAGGUGCACCUGCCAGCAACUCAGUCCUCACAUGCUCCACCUGGCCCUGCCUCACCUGUCCUGUCCUUUGACUUUCUCCCAAUUCACCUGUUCCACCUUCCCCUGGUCCUGCCUCACCUUUUCCCUCUCACCUAGCCUCACACCCAUCUUGCCUAGCCCCCUCACCUGUCCCCAGGAACAUCAUUGUCUUCAUCUUCGUCUUCAUUGAGGAAGCUGAAGCUCUCCAAGGCAUGCUCCACAGUGAUGCUGAGACUGGAGGCCCGGCUGCGAGUCAGACCUUGUCUCUGCUGAGGUUGUGAAGGGCAUCAGAGCGGCUGCCGCCCCCUGGCUGCCCUCCCUGGUUGCCCUAGCCCAGCCCAGCCCUCCUCACCAUGAGCAGACUUUCUAGGCGGGUCACCUCCUGCUCCAGGCCCUGCAGCUCAGGAAACUGGCCACGGUAGUCAUCCAGGGCAGCCAUUAGGGCCCCCAGUGCCUCCUCCAGGCUCCUGUCCCCAGACCCUCCGGCUGCCGUUGGGACUGGGGUCUGGACAGCCAUGGCCAGGCAAAGGUCUGAAUGCUGGGGUGCAGGGGUUGGGGGUGAGGGAGUGGGGCUUAGACUCUGAACCGUAGACUCUGAGGGAUCUGGGGCAGGGCUUGUGAGGGGUUUCCUACUGGAAUGGGCAGGACUUGGGUGGGGAGUUCUGGGGGCCAUAGGGUCUGCCUGAGUGUAGGAAUUGGAGACUGGGGGACUACAGGGAAGGGAGUCAGUGCCUGGGAGGGUGGGGUCUGAGUGUUUGGAGGGGCUGGAGAGGGUAGCAAGUUCUAGAGAAGUGGAAGGGCUUACAUUUAUAAGGAUGGGGCUUGUGGUGGGAUGGGUGGGGCUUGUGGUAGGAUGGGUGGGACUUGUGGCAGUCUGGACUAGGCCCAUACCACUGGGGGUAGGACUUGUAGUGGUGGGAGGUGACAUACUGGUUUUGUGGGUGGGACUUGUGGGGGUAUGGGUGGGGCUUGUGGAAGUAUGAGUGGGGCUUGCUGUGGUAUGGGUAGGGCUUGGCAUAGUGUGGGUGGGGCUUGUGGUAGUCUGGACUGGGCCUAUGAUAUUGAGGGUAGGGCCUGUAGUAGUAAGGGUAGAGAUUAUGGGCUUGUGGGUGGAGCCUGUAGUAGUGUGAGUGAGGGGGCUUGGAGCACUGUGGGUAGUGGUAAUGGCACUAUAGGUAGAGCCUGUAGUGGUGUGAGUGGGGCCUGGCAGUUCUGAAGGGCCAGAGUCUGUGGACUUAUGAACUGAGUCUAGGUGUGCAGAUGGGGCAGGGUCUGUAGAUGUGGGGACAGAGCCUGUUGUACCGAGGGUAGAGCUUGUGGCAGAGUGGCCAGGGUCCAGGGCAGGAGGAACAGGACUGGGGUGCUCUCCAUGGGUGGGAGCUGGGUGUGUAGGUGGGCUAGGUCCCCAGGCUAGGCUUUCUGGGCCAACGGCCUCCACUGAAGCCUCAGCCAAGGCAGCAUCUACACUAGCCUCACUGAUGUGGCUCAGAGUCCGACUGUAGGGUGCAUGCCCAUUUGCCAGGACUGGGGCCACGGCCCCCUCCUCAUCCAAGGGCCCAGAGCUGGGGGUCUCAGGCCUGCGGAAGGCAACUUGGAUGGGAAGGGGCUCGGGCUGCUGCACCAGGGGCCUAGGGGCUGGUGAGUGGCGGGCAGUGCCUGAGAGCUGUGGGCUGGAUGAGUCGUCUGAAGAUUCAGAUGACAGGGACCAUGCUGUCCCAUUCUCCAGCUCCUCCUGCCGUCGCAGCAUGUUCUGAGAAAGAGGAGAGGGCAUUUCAGAACCACCCCCAGGGAGCCUCUGGGGGAUGGUGAGGCCUGGACCUGGGCUAUGACUCACAUAGAAAGCCUGUUCCCGAAGUGAGGGUGUGUCCGGUGGGCUCUGGCUAUAGGUGGAGAAGCGCUUGGUGACUGUGGAGGCCUUGUUGACAGAAGAAGCAGCUGAGGGCUGGUCAUCCUUGUCGAAGGGGCUGGGAAGGGAAGAGGCUGUUGGCAGGUGCCACAGCCCUCCUGGCCCUCCUCCAAGCCUCUCAGCCCCACCAACCUCCAUGUGACUUCCAGGCUGAGCUUGAUGGUACCAAGGUCAUUGAUAUCCACAGCCACAACCUGGGGCAGGGCGGCAAACAGGUCCUUGGUCUCACAGGAGACACUGCCCACAACCACAUGGUUGGCCAGGCCCUUCAGUUCUGUCACCUGUAGCCAAGAGUGCAUGGUAGGGUCACAAGGGUGCAGGGGCUAUGAGAUCAUGGGAAAUCUGAGGUCUGAAUUUGCAUAGAACUUAUAAAAUGGUCAUGGGAGGCUGAGGCAGGAGGAUCACUUAAGGCCAGGAGUUCAAGACCAGCUUGGGCAACAUGGCAAGACUCUGUCUCAAAAAAAAAAAAAAAAAAAAUUUUUAGCCAGGCAUGGUGGUGCACCUGUAGUCCCAGCUACUUGGGAGGCUGAAGUGGGAGGAUGGGUUGAGCCCAGGAGUUUGAGACUGCAGUGAGGUAUGAUUGCACUGCUGCACUCCAACCUGGGUGACAGAGUGAGACCCGCCAACUCCUAGAUAGAUAGACAGACACAUGCAUGCUCAUGGAGCCAUGGAUGCUUGAAGCAGCCUGGGAGCAUGGGAAUCACAGAGGUCUGCAUGGUAGGGUCACUGAGGUCAUAGAGGUCACAGCCUCAUGGGAGCUUAGGAGGUCAAAUAUUCACAGGGUCAGAAGAUCAUGAGGAGGUCACAGGGUCAGGAAGCCAUGAUGUCCUAAGAGUCACAAAGAUUGUUCCUCUCAGGGCCACAGAGAUCAUGAAGGUCAUGGAAUCAUAUCUUCACAGGGCUAUGGAGCUAUGAGGGGAUCACAGGAGUAAGGGACUCAGGGUAAUGGGGGUCACAAGGGGUUCACAGGGCCAUGGUGGCCUGCCGUCCUGGGCAGAGACAUCACCUUAAUAGACAGAAAUUCCGUGAGUAGAGGGAGAAAGAUGGUUUCUUCACUGUCCCACACCUGCUUUCCACUACCCUCAAUUCGGCCCCGUAGUUUCCAGCGCUGACGCCCAUAUUUCAUGCAGAUCUGGGGGAACAGGUAGGAUGAGGCAGCCUAGGUGUUGGGACCCUACCGACCCAGCCCUUCCCUGCACAUUCUCAUACCUCAUACUGAUCGCCUACACACAGCCUGGCGAAGCCAGCCAGCCCUGAGUUGGAGGAGAAGGGGAGAAGUCGGUGAGCCAUAUUGGGGUUCUUCAGCAUACUCCCUCCAGCCCCCCACCUGCCCCCACAACUCAGUACCUUUCAUUCGGAGAUGAAACUCGCCCAGCUGUGCCUCCAGCUCGCUCUCCAGCAGACACAUGCUCUGGGAGGGAGGGGCAGGGACAGGAGGGGGUCAAGGGCCAGCCACUAGCCCUGCCACACCCUGUGCCUCUGCCUCAUGGGCCCCCAUCCCUCACCUCCGUGUACUCGCGAUGCCCCCGAGUGGCCUCUGCCAGGCUGUCCCGGGCCUCUCGGCUUCCCGGGGACCCAGUGGUGUAGGCACGGACCAUGUUGUAGGCACCAUCCCGGAGACGCCGCUGGACACAGUAUGCCUCAUACAGCUCAUCGAUCUGGGAAGGUGAGUGGGGUGACAGUAGGGGGACUGAGACUCACCUCUGGGGUUACUCACCUCUAAGGUUGCUCACCCAGGGCCUGGCACCACCCCUCUUCUCCCUAUGAUAUCCAACCCCCCACCCCACUCUGCACACAUGCUGCACUCGUACCUUGCUGGCAUGGAACUCCAGUCGUCGCAGGAAGCGUUCAAUGGACUUGACUUGCUGGGGGAGAGGUGGGUCAGGAGGGGCCUGAGGCCCAGGGUCCUUACCCUCCCUGUGAGCCAACCCCUUCCAGUACCAUUCCAUGCAUACUCACCUUGUCCAGAUCAUACAGGAAGCCCUGCAGGGGUGGGGAGAAGGGGCAAAUAUUUAGGAGGGAUGAGGAGGACUCCAGCAGAGGCACUCAGACUCGUCACAGCUCCCCUUUCUCACACCACAGUCCACAAGCACUCCUGUCACAGUAGCAACUGACGCCCCUUCCUGCUGGUCUAGCCCUUGGUGGAUGCUGGUAGCACAGAUCUGGUCCCUUCAGCCCCCUCCAGGACCCCUCCUUCCACCUCUUCCCUGGGAUUCCUUUUCCUGCAGCCGCCUGGGGAGAGCUCUCUGCUUCCUUGUGCAAGGUUCCCUCUG